CGACGUGAUGUAAAAAAAUAUAAAGUGGAAGCCAGUCCUUCUGCCGCCAUUUCACGGGAAAGAAACGCGGAAAACAACACGCUGGGGACACAAUAUUGAACCAUUGCAUUGCUGCCGAGAACAAAGCUAUUGAAUAGUUGAACGGAAUCGUGUAUUUAGUCAACGGCGUAGUCAGAUAGCUCAAUUCGGCUGGUCUAAAAUCUUUAUUUGGAGCAAAAAUGAGCUACGGAAGGCCACCGCCCGACGUGGAGGGAAUGACCUCCCUCAAAGUAGACAAUCUGACGUAUCGGACGUCACCCGAGACUUUGCGCCGUGUGUUUGAAAAGUACGGUCGGGUAGGCGAUGUUUAUAUCCCCCGUGACAGGUACACCAAGGAAAGCCGUGGCUUUGCCUUCGUGCGUUUCCACGACAACAGGGACGCCGAAGACGCGAUGGAUGCAAUGGACGGUGCCCUGCUCGACGGACGCGAGCUCCGGGUGCAGAUGGCGCGCUAUGGCCGCCCACCUGAUUCCCACUACGGCCGAAGAGGGGGCGGCGGUGCGCCCCGUAGACAUGGGGGUUCCGGUAGAAGAAGCAGGAGCCGCUCGGGUAGUCCGAGACGCCGCAGACGCAGCCGUUCCAGGAGCAGAAGCCGCUCCAGAAGCCGCUCUCGCUACAGCCGUUCCAGGUCCAGGUCUUACUCCAGAUCAAGGUCCAAGUCCAGGAGCCAGAGGAGAAGCAAGUCAAAGUCUGCUUCCAGACAGCGUUCCCGCUCAAAGUCCAAGUCCAAGUCCAGGAGUCGAACCCCGCCAUCCAACGUGGGUUCGAAGUCCCGGUCCAGGUCCAAGAGCAGGCCCAAAUCUCCAGAGGAUAAUGGCACAGAGUCUUAACCCAAUCCCGGGUCCCAGACGGUAGGGUCACAGGCUGUUUCAAUGUCAUAGAAUGGAUGUUUCAGAUUGCAGUUGUCUCGAGGACAUCUGCUUCGUAGACGCCCAUUCAUAACUAUAACAAAUAAUCCAAGAAUACAUAGUCUAUUAAGCUGUUUCAUAAUUGGAAAGUACUCUGUCUCUUAUGACUGCAGACUCCUGUUAUUCUGCGUGUGCUUCAGGGGUUGUGUUAACCGCUUUAAAGCACAUGCAGCUUAACCGUGUACAUUUUAGAACGGCACUACUACACUGAAGCAUAUGGUCACUGGGUGUCCAGGCACGUUAGUGCGUGGGAAUGUGAGGGCUGGACGUGCUGUAACCAAAAACAUGCACCUAAAUGUGGAAUUCUUUCCUCCAAGCUGCGGAACCCCGUUUGCAAAGAGGAGUUGGGGGUGUGGCAGUGUGAGGCAGUUAGUGUGUGGCCGGCCGUGUGACCUGCCUGGUGGCUGCUGAGGGCGCUGCAGGCAUUGGCAGUAAAGGAGCAGGUCACCAUGGCAACGUUGGCUGCUAAAACGGGAGCAGGUCGCCAUGGCGGCGGUGGGUGCCGGUCAGUUGGUGUGUGAGGUGAUGGUGGCGAGGUGCGGGCGCUGGACCACAGUCCCAGAGGUACAGGGCAGCUGUACCUGAGGCUGUGGUCCUCCUGCUACUUGCAGAGGGAGCGGAGUCCCCAAGGUUUGUUUAUCUAAUAACAGCUGUGUGUCGGCCCCAGGGCCCCCUUUCAAGAGGUAGGGUAUUUGAGAAGGGGGGCCUUGGGGAAGGUGACCGGAAAUGCUAAUGUUACUGUCGGUGCAGUUGGCAUUUCUAGAAAUGCCCCACCAAACCUGCGACACCAUGUCCAACUCUACUACGGGGUUUCAACUAUUACGAUCAAGCCUGUAAAGUCCCAGUAGUCAGACUAGCUGAGCGUGUAGGGCUGAGUCCGACGGUGCGUCUCAUCGUUAUUAAUCCCGUCCAUUCUCUUUCAGAUCUCGGAGUGGCUGAAGUUCACCAGCACCAGGAGCCCGGACUGAGCCUCUGGACCGCACUGUUCACCCCCUGAUUCCAGACCAAAAGGCGCAGUUGUGUAGCAGUUGAGUAAUGCUGGUUAGCUGGUAGAGGUGAUGCGGGGCAGUGCGCCGGUUUGGCGUGUUGCGGUGCUGGGCGCCCCCCCGCCCGGGGCUCCACCCUCCGUUGCCGGUUUGUAAGGUCACAGGUGUGGCAAAAUUGUGUGCCCCUCAUUCGCUCAUCUACUUCCUGUCAUGUGACUUCUCUCCCCAUCCCUCCUGUGUACACAUUCUUGUCCUCCUUUCCUCCCUCCCUUGCCCCCCCCCCCCCGUCCUCCCUUCUGCGGAGCUGUUUUCUCCCUCCCUAAAGGUAGCUGUUGGAGUCUAGAUGGACUCUAGUAAAUCGUGGGAAGGCCAGUCUGUUAAGUAGGGGUUGCAUUAUUUUGUGAAGUCCUCCAUUGUCUUGUAAUUGCUUCUGCUUAAUGACAAUAAAAUAUUUGAUAUUCAAGUGAAUCGUUUCUCU